rnacentral:rRNA from 1 species
GACGAACGCUGGCGGCGUGCUUAACACAUGCAAGUCGAACGGAGUGGCGAACGGGUGAGUAACACGUGGGUGAUCUGCCUUGCACUUCGGGGUAAGGUUGGGAAACUGGGUCUAAUACCGGAUAGUGCAAGAUGAGCUCGCGGUCUAUCCGCUUGUGGGUGGGGUAAGGGCCUACCAAGGCGUCGACUGGUAGCCGGCCUGAGAGGGGGUACGGCGCCAUUGGGACUAAGGUAGGGCCCAGACUCGUACAGGAGGCAUCGGUGGGGAAUAUUGCACAAUGGGCGGAAGCCUGAUGCAGCGACGCUGGGUGGGGGAUGAAGGCCUUCGGGGUGUAAACUCCUUUCGGCAGGGACGCGGUACCUGUAUAAGAAGCACCGGCUAACUACGUGCCAGCAGCCGCGGUAAUAC